rnacentral:rRNA from 1 species
ACCAGCAGCGAUAGCACGUUGUUUGCACCAAUUUCCAAUGGAUCACUCAAGUUAAGCAACAAUCCGUGUUGUUAGUAUUCGCAUGGGUGACCAUCUGGACAAUCGCGUGCUACAGGUU